GUGUUGUGUUCGAGGCACGUUGGA
rnacentral:siRNA from 1 species